UACGGAGGGUGCGAGCGUUAUUCGGAAUUACUGGGCGUAAAGCGCGUGUAGGCGGGGAAGCAAGUCUGAUGUGAAAGCCCUGGGCUUAACCUGGGAAGUGCAUUGGAAACUGUUUUUCUUGAGUACUGGAGAGGAAGGGAGAAUUCCCGGUGUAGAGGUGAAAUUCGUAGAGAUCGGGAGGAACACCAGUGGCGAAGGCGCCCUUCUGGACGGUUUCUGACGCUGAGACGCGAAAGAGUGGGGAGCAAACAGG
rnacentral:rRNA from 1 species